rnacentral:rRNA from 1 species
GAUGAACGCUGGCGGCGUGCCUAAUACAUGCAAGUCGAGCGAACGGACGAGAAGCUUGCUUUUCUGAUGUUAGCGGCGGACGGGUGAGUAACACGUGGAUAACCUACCUAUAAGACUGGGAUAACUUCGGGAAACCGGAGCUAAUACCGGAUAAUAUUUUGAACCGCAUGGUUCAAAAGUGAAAGACGGUCUUGCUGUCACUUAUAGAUGGAUCCGCGCUGCAUUAGCUAGUUGGUAAGGUAACGGCUUACCAAGGCAACGAUGCAUAGCCGACCUGAGAGGGUGAUCGGCCACACUGGAACUGAGACACGGUCCAGACUCCUACGGGAGGCAGCAGUAGGGAAUCUUCCGCAAUGGGCGAAAGCCUGACGGAGCAACGCCGCGUGAGUGAUGAAGGUCUUCGGAUCGUAAAACUCUGUUAUUAGGGAAGAACAUAUGUGUAAUUAACUGUGCACAUCUUGACGGUACCUAAUCAGAAAGCCACGGCUAACUACGUG